rnacentral:tRNA from 1 species
GAAGUGUGCCCGAGAACCAGGGAUUACUUUGAUAGAGUAAACACAGAGCCACACGACCUCUCACUUCUA